AUUAUGUGACGAAUACAAGGUCACUGCUUUACCAACAUUCAUCUAUAUCAAGGACGGAAAACAGGUAUCCAGUGUUGUUGGAGGAAAAGCGAGUGAAGUUGAGAAACUAAUCCAGCAACAUAGAGGGAUGCAACAGCAGCAAUGCUCUGGUCAUGCCCCGCAAUAAAUACUUUCAGCACCUGCCCCUGCUGUGAAAUGGCUGGAACAAUAUGAAAGCUAUUAAUGCACUAUGUGAUCCAUGAUGUAAAAUAAUAAAAGUGCUGCACAUGAUG